rnacentral:rRNA from 1 species
AACGAACGCUGGCGGCAGGCCUAACACAUGCAAGUCGAACGAGAAGCCACCUUCGGGUGGUGGACAGUGGCAGACGGGUGAGUAACGCGUGGGAACGUGCCUUUCGGUUCGGGAUAACCCAGGGAAACUUGGGCUAAUACCGGACACGCCCUUCGGGGGAAAGAUUCAUUGCCGAAAUAUCGGGCCGAGUCGGGGUAGCCUGUUGGUGGGGUAAUGGGCUACCAAGGCGACGAUCCGUAGCUGGGCUGAGAGGAUGACCAGCCAAACUGGGACUGAUACACGGCCCGGACUCCGGCGGAGGGGAGCAGUGGGGAAUAUUUGACAAUGGGCGAAAGCCUGAUCCAGCCAUGCCGCGUGGGUGAAGAAGGCCUUAGGGUUGUAAACCCCUUUCAGCGGGGACGAUAAUGACGGUACCCGCAGAAGAAGUCCCGGCUAACUCCGUGCCAGCCGCCGCAGUAA